rnacentral:rRNA from 1 species
UUCCUACGGGAGGCAGCAGUAGGGAAUCUUCCGCAAUGGACGAAAGUCUGACGGAGCAACGCCGCGUGAGCGAAGAAGGCCUUCGGGUCGUAAAGCUCUGUUGUUAGGGAAGAACAAGUACGAGAGUAACUGCUCGUACCUUGACGGUACCUAACCAGAAAGCCACGGCUAACUACGUGCCAGCAGCCGCGGUAAUACGUAGGUGGCAAGCGUUGUCCGGAAUUAUUGGGCGUAAAGCGCGCGCAGGCGGUCCUUUAAGUCUGAUGUGAAAGCCCACGGCUCAACCGUGGAGGGUCAUUGGAAACUGGGGGACUUGAGUGCAGAAGAGGAGAGUGGAAUUCCACGUGUAGCGGUGAAAUGCGUAGAGAUGUGGAGGAACACCAGUGGCGAAGGCGACUCUCUGGUCUGUAACUGACGCUGAGGCGCGAAAGCGUGGGGAGCAAACAGGAUUAGAUACCCUGGUAGUCCACGCCGUAAACGAUGAGUGCUAAGUGUUAGAGGGUUUCCGCCCUUUAGUGCUGCAGCUAACGCAUUAAGCACUCCGCCUGGGGAGUACGGCCGCAAGGCUGAAACUCAAAUGAAUUGACGGAA